ACGAACGCUGGCGGCGUGCUUAACACAUGCCUGUCGAACGGAAAGGCCCUGCUUGCAGGGUACUCGAGUGGCGAACGGGUGAGUAACACGUGGGUGAUCUGCCCUGCACUUCGGGAUAAGCUUGGGAAACUGGGUCUAAUACCGGAUAGGAGCCAUCUUUAGUGUGGUGGUUGGAAAGUUUUUUCGGUGUAGGAUGAGCUCGCGGCCUAUCAGCUUGUUGGUGGGGUAAUGGCCUACCAAGGCGGCGACGGGUAGCCGGCCUGAGAGGGUGUACGGCCACAUUGGGACUGAGAUACGGCCCAGACUCCUACGGGAGGCAGCAGUGGGGAAUAUUGCACAAUGGGCGCAAGCCUGAUGCAGCGACGCCGCGUGGGGGAUGAAGGCCUUCGGGUUGUAAACUCCUUUCGCUAGGGACGAAGCUUUUUUGUGACGGUACCUAGAUAAGAAGCACCGGCUAACUACGUG
rnacentral:rRNA from 1 species